rnacentral:rRNA from 1 species
AUUGAACGCUGGCGGAAUGCUUUACACAUGCAAGUCGAACGAUGAAGCCCAGCUUGCUAGGUGAAUUAGUGGCGGACGGGUGAGUAAUAUAUCGGAACAUGCCCAUUAAUGGGGGAUAACUAGCCGAAAGGUUAGCUAAUACCGCAUAACAUCUACGGAUUAAAGCUGGGGACCUUCGGGCCUGGCGUUAGUGGAGUGGCCGAUAUCUGAUUAGCUAGAUGGUGGGGUAAUGGCCUACCAUGGCGACGAUCAGUAACUGGUCUGAGAGGACGACCAGUCACACUGGGACUGAGACACGGCCCAGACUCCUACGGGAGGCAGCAGUGGGGAAUUUUGGACAAUGGGGGCAACCCUGAUCCAGCCAUUCCGCGUGAGUGAAGACGGCCUUCGGGUUGUAAAGCUCUUUCACAAGUAAAGAAACGGUACUUAUUAAUAGUGAGUGCUAAUGACGGUAACUUGAGAAGAAGCACCGGCUAACUACGUGCCAGCAGCCGCGGUAAUACGUAGGGUGCGAGCGUUAAUCGGAAUUACUGGGCGUAAAGCGUGCGCAGGCUGUUUGGUGAGUCAGAUGUGAAAUCCCCGAGCUCAACUUGGGAACUGCGUUUGAAACUGUCAGACUAGAAUAUGUCAGAGGGGGGUAGAAUUCCACGUGUAGCAGUGAAAUGCGUAGAGAUGUGGAGGAAUACCGAUGGCGAANGCAGCCCCCUGGGAUAAUAUUGACGCUCAUGCACGAAAGCGUGGGGAGCGAACAGGAUUAGACACCCUGGNAGUCCACGCCCUAAACGAUGUCUACUAGUUGUUGGUGGAGUAAAAUCCAUGAGUAACGUAGCUAACGCGUGAAGUAGANCGCCUGGGGAGUACGGGCGCAAGCUUA